CCGGCGGGUUGGCCACGCCUACACCGCCUGGUUAGUAAUUUGUCAGAAUAAUCAUCGAUAUAAAUAACACCUGGGGAGAUGCUGUUGCAAUAAGCAAUGUCUGUGCUGGUCGCUGCCGUAACCAGUCUGAAGUGAAUCUCCCUCCAUCGAGCUGUGUCCUGCUUCUCCUUUAAGACUGUUUUUAGGGGAUUACUGCAUGCUCUUUGGGAUGAUAAUCGAUGCAAGCGUGAUCCAGCAGAAGUUGGUGUCCAUCGCACAUGCUGUGCCAGGGUGACGUGCAGCCAAGGGGUGAUAGCCACUGCUGUUUUGCUUAUGUGAUGUUUUGCCUUGUUUUCUUUUAUGUUAAGAGGUUUACCUAGCAUUAUGUUCCCUGUUUAUUGUAUUGUUUCUAAAUAGGGUUUAGUCAAUUUUAUGGUGUGAACAGUGUGUGAAUGGUUUUAUGCACAGGGAGGCAAGGCCCUCUUAUAUUUGGUUGAUGUGAUGAAUUGAUUUGUGGUGUUUAUUUAAUGGUGCCUUUUAACCUGUUGACUCUGACCAUUUUAUUC